rnacentral:misc_RNA from 1 species
GAUUGGCUCUUCUGGCUCGAAGCAAGAGAAACAGUACUCAGUGAGAUCCCACCCCUCCCAUUCAGGUGCCUAACGAGCGGCAUGUCCUCUUCGCUGCAAGACGCGUUUCCAGAUGGAGGCGGUGCGGUCUGCAGCACCUUCUUUAGCUCCGUCGACCUCUCUGAAAAGCUGUGGGCCGGCAUUGAACGGCUAGCGGAGGCAGAUGAUCUCACCUUCUGGAUCGUCGUGGCGAACCACGACCGCCUGCCGGUGGUGUUGGUGAACGUGAUCACCGCCGUAGACCACGCUCACAGUUCUCACUCAAGGGCGCAGCGAAAAGCUGUGCCGCCAAACGGAGAGCAGCGCGUCAUUGAGAUUCUCAUUCGCCUCGCGACCAGCACCGAUCUAUGCUUGCGCCGACAUGUCGACCCGGCAAGCCUAGCAACGCGGCUGAGUGUGCUCCUGCCGUGGAAGGUGCUCUUUCCCGUGUCGCUGCUGCUGCUCCGCCACAGCGGCGCUGCCGCCUCCGUCACCGUCACCUCCCUGAUCCUUCUCAACCCUGGCUACCUCUGCACGCUCAACACGUUCAUGACAACGUGGUGGGACGGCGUCAACCGAUUUUCCGUGCGGUGCGCGCGUGAGCUGCAGCGCGGCCGCUUCCAGCGCCAGCCAGGCGACAUCCUCUCCUCUUUUGAGCAGGUGUAUCGCAUCACCAAGCAGCUCUGGGCUGCGGUGCAGUGCGCCCCCUUCCUCUCAGACUACAUGUCCUUGCCGCGGACGCUGCGGGCGCUGCGCGUCAUUGUCGACGUUCUCUCGCCCGUUCUGCAGCAUUUCAUCAUGGUCUGCGAUGAGCUCACGCCGCGGCGGCCAAUCCUGAGUCGUGCGAACUCCGUUAUCGUAAAUGCCGCGAUCAACACAUCGUCGGCGUUGCUCUUGUAUCACACCUACGCCGUACAGGGGCCGCAUCGGCGGCAGGACGCGGACGGCUUUUGCGUUCCACAGCUGAUCAACCGCACCUACAGUCACUUGCGUGAGUAUCUGCGUCAACACGGGCGAGGCUUUAUUGAGGAAACGCUGCAGGCAUACGGCAACGGGUCGCUCUUGGGCCUCAUUCACUACUUGUACCCCCCAGCCCGCUUCGCGGACGACGCCGGCGAGAAGGCGCUUGGGCAGUUAAUGCUGACGCUCACGAAAGACAUUUCGGACAGCAACGACUUUGCCGAGGCCGUUCACGGCUCCCGGCAGCGAUUCUUUGAGCUCCUGCUGCUCGAGGUCGUGCGUCAGGGUGUGCACAUCGAUGAUCUUCUCGCGCGCCACCUCGUGACGACCGAAGAGGCGUCAAAGCUGGGCGCCUCGGAGGGCACUCUGACGAACGCGCUGGCCGGCCUCCCGGCAAGCAACGCCGUCGCUGAAGCCGCCCUUGCGGACCCUAGCCCGGCGCCGACGUCUCCAUCACCGGCGCCCGCCGCAACAGACAUUGUCGACGAUCCUCUCGUUGCUAUGGUCAUGGAGGUGUUCCCGCAGUUCAGCGCUGGUGGCGUUCGCACCGCCUUGAACUUCUACAGCAACGACGUGGAGCAAUUCAUCAUGGAUGCGAGUGUGGAGAACUUGCCACCGCACCUCGUCGGGCCUUUGACAGCGUCUGCGCAGUCCGACGCGGAGCUGGCGGCAGCACUAGCGGCACAUGAGGCCGGGGUCGAGGACGCUGCUGCCCCCGCUACCAGCAUCCACGCAGCAGAGUCGCCGGCGACUCGCGCCGACGCCUCGGCGCACUUGGCCUUAUACGAUUUUGAUGAUAACUUUGAUCCUGACGCGCUCUAUCGCCUUAUGGGUCGUGAUCUGUACGAGAUGCUGGCAGACUCGGACGGUGACGCCGGCUACGCCGACGGCGGCGCGAACGAUGACGAGGUGGAGGAUGAGACGGCGUACAACAUCACCAUGAACGACCCUCAGUCUUACAUGUCGGACGCCUUCGACAUUGACGAGGAGAUGAAGAUGAAGAUUCGGGUGCUGAACGAGAUCAUGUACGAAGAUGAACUGGACGACGGCCAGCAAGAUGUUCACCUGGCAGGCGGGGACAUUAUCGACGAUGCCUCCGACAGCGACGGUGACGACAAUGGCGGUGGCGGGCGACGAGGACGUGAGCGUCGUCGUGGCGGUGGAGGUGUCGACGGCUACGCUCCCGGGUACCUGGACACGGAGACAUGGGCGGCCGUUGAGGGCCAAGAGCGGGCCGCUGCAAGCGCAGCUUCACCCCCGCAGCAACGGGCACCUCGCGACGAGUACCACGACAAGCGCUACCAUGAGAAGCGCUCGAAAGAUCGCUUGGCGCGCACCAAGCAAAUCCAGUCAGAGCGGAAUGAGCGGGUGCCUGCGUACGCCAACAAGAAGAAGACGUCGAAGGCAAAGGCCGGGGGAUCGAAGGGCUCUCUGCAGCGCGCCGUGAGGCGGGGCAAGUUCACGGCCGACGCCUGACACAUGCACGUGCGUUGAUGGUGGCUGACCAUCUCUGGAUGGCGACAGGGCACAGUCAUCAUUCUUGGUGUCCGCAGACAGGGCUGUGUUCACUCUGUGUCGGAGAGACAUGCGGUCAUCACACCGUUUGGGCCACCUCGCUACCCAUCGUGUCGACGAUACAAAACACGUAAGCGCGCUCUAAGCUCUCUGUGCGCAGAUACAUGCUUGUCUGUUGGCCCCUGCUGCCGCAGACCCAUGGCAGCGCCCCCCCCCGUCGCGGCGCAUGUGGGCCAACCCAUCCCGACUCGCCGCCACGGCAUCGACGGAGAUGGAAGAGGAUGCCCGCCACCCGGACAGCUGCGUCGUGCCCUGAGGCAGGCCACAGGAUCUCGAAAAGGCGAGAGCGCACGGUGCGCAGGCGCUGCCAUGCACAGCUGGCAUGGGUGUGCCGCAUCCAUGCAAGGCGUGCGGUUGUCCGAUGCGCAAGAGUGAUGGGCGAAAAAGGGCGCGAAGGGCACCAUACGAAUCGACGCCAGGGCGCAUGUGUGCGCAGAGCAUGCGGCGUCUCCUGCGUCCGACGCGGUGGGCUGAUAUGAGGGCACGGGUGCCGGAAGCAUGGCAUACGGCCGGGUUGCAGAGGCUCUGAAGGGCUCUCACCGGAGGCUGGCCGACUUGUUCCUCGAGCUCAUUCGGCACGCGUCUGGCCCACCACCACCACCACCACCCCUGCUACCCUGCAGGGCGGCUCGUUCUCGGCGACCAGGAGAUGUCGCCGCCGUGCGGCCAGAGGGUUGGGGCGCUGUGGUUGCGGAGGCGUGUACGCGCUGUUGCAGACGUGUUUGUGGUGGGAUGGGCACGCUUUGAAAGAACCAAAAGGGAAAGCCACGGACGUGUAUUACCGCCUUGUUGAUGUGGGCGAAGUGUCUGCAUGCGGGAGUGAGGGGAGACAGAGUUGGAUAUAUUAGGGAAGCUCACAGACGUUGGGGCUCGGUGUGUUUGCCCUCUCCCGGUGAUGGAUAGAGACGAUUGGAGGCGUAUCGCUGUGCUUCUGUGGCAAACUUGUCCGGUGCACUGGCCGACGAGACUAGCUUCUCAGAGCGAGCAACUGCGCAUGAGGGGCGAUCCGAGGUGUCCUUCUGCAUAUCACCCAUCCACACCUUGCUUCGCAUCCGCACUCGAACGUAAAGACGGAGAAGAGGCUUAAUGCUUGAUAACGUGGGUGUUCGCACACAUCGCCGUGUGCACGCGGCCGUGUGUGUCUGUGUGUGUGUGUGUGUGUGUGUGUGUGUGUCUUGGCUGUUUGCGACUGCGGCAGCAAAGACACUAUCAUGCGACGGGAAGAGGCACUUCGCGCU